rnacentral:rRNA from 1 species
UACGUAGGGUGCAAGCGUUGUCCGGAUUUAUUGGGCUUAAAGGGUGCGUAGGCGGUCUUUUAAGUCAGUGCUGAAAUAUCCCGGCUUAACCGGGAGGGUGGCAUUGAUACUGAAGGACUUGAGUUCAGUCGAGGUAGGCGGAAUUGACGGUGUAGCGGUGAAAUGCUUAGAUAUCGUCAAGAAUACCGAUAGUGUAGACAGCUUACUAGUCUGAAACUGACGCUGAGGCACGAAAGUGUGGGGAUCAAACAGG